rnacentral:rRNA from 1 species
AUUGAACGCGGGCGGCAGGCCUAACCCAUGCAAGUCGAGAGAGCGGCGGACGGGUGAGGAAUGUAUGGGGACUGCCCGAUAGGGGGGGAUAACUAAUGGAAACGGUGGCUAAUACCGCAUACUGUAGGAUAACCCAAAUGGGAGUAGCUAGUAGGUAAGGUAAUGGCUUACCUAGGCGACGAUCCCUAGCGGGUCUGAGAGGAUGAUCAGAACCACUGGUACUGAGCAACGGCCCAGACUCCUACGGAGUCAGCAGGGGGGACGAUUGCACAAUGGGCGCAAGCCUGAUGCAGCCAUGCCGCGUGUAUGAAGAAGGCCUUAUGGUUGUAAAGUAUUUUCAGUCGAGAGGCGUUACCGACAGAAGAAGCACCGGCUAACUCCGUGCCAGCAGCCGCGGUAAUUC